rnacentral:lncRNA from 1 species
UACAUUUUUUAUUUCAGAAUUCAAUGUUAUUCAAUCUGUGUUACACAGAGGUCAUUAUAACUGUCCCUUUUUUACCAAUUUUUAAGGAUCAAGCAAACGUUUGGAAAAACUAUGCCUUGUCUCUUACCUUGUUUGUGUAAUGAUUUCCAUUUUAGAUUAAUGCAAAUAUCCCUUAUCUUUAUCAGAUGGCUGUCUGUAUCUGCAAUGUUAUGUUACAUGAAAUACAUUUAAUACAAUAAAGAUUUUUAACAACAACUCAAUAAUCGUUGCACUUUCGCCAUUCGCUCGCUCAAAGCUGUCCCCAUCAACUGGAAUGAAUUGGAAAAACCAAGAUAUGCAACGUUGCUGGGUCUCAGACAGUAAGUCGUUCAGUACUGCUCAGUUCUACCACACACCAUUGGCUAGUUCAUUCCAUUCCACAGUGAGUCAUGCCAGUCAGACAUCAUCAGAAGUCACAGGUGUUCUGUCUUUGAGGCUUUUUGUUUUUUCUGUCAGUCUCUACCUCUGUCUCUGUCUCCCCAGUCCUUCCUAACAUAGCUGUUAGGUCUUUAACACUGUCUGUCAGUCUCUACCUCUGUCUUUGUCUCCCCAGUCCUUCCUAACAUAGCUGUUAGGUCUUUAACACUGUCUGUCAGUCUCUACCUCUCUUUGUCUCCCCAGUCCUUCCUAACAUAGCUGUUAGGUCUUUAACACUGUCUGGUAGUCUCUACCUCUGUCUCUGUCUCCCCAGUCCUUCCUAACAUAGCUGUUAGGUCUUUAACACUGUCUGUCAGUCUCUACCUCUGUCUCUGUCUCCCCAGUCCUUCCUAACAUAGCUGUUAGGUCUUU